GACCGCAUAGCUCAGUUGGCAGAGCAUUGGUCUAGUAUACCAGAGGUCGUAGGUUCGAUUCCCACCGUGGUCA
rnacentral:tRNA from 1 species